rnacentral:rRNA from 1 species
UGGCGGACGGGGGAGUAAUGUCUGGGAAACUGCCCGAUGAGGGGGGAUAACUACUGGAAACGGUAGCUAAUACCGCAUAACGUCGCAAGACCAAAGAGGGGGACCUUAGGGCCUCUUGCCAUCGGAUGUGCCCAGAUGGGAUUAGCUAGUAGGUGGGGUAACGGCUCACCUAGGCGACGAUCCCUAGCUGGUCUGAGAGGAUGACCAGCCACACUGGAACUGAGACACGGUCCAG